UACGUAGGCAGCAAGCGUUGUUCGGAAUUACUGGGCGUAAAGAGUGUGUAGGCGGUGCUCUAAGUUCGGUGUGAAAUCUCCCGGCUCAACUGGGAGGGUGCGCCGGAAACUGGGGGUGCUGGAGCGCGGGAGAGGAAAGGCGGAAUUCCUGGUGUAGCGGUGAAAUGCGUAGAUAUCAGGAGGAACACCGGCGGUGUAGACGGCUUUCUGGACCGUAGCUGACGCUGAGACACGAAAGCGUGGGUAGCAAACAGGA
rnacentral:rRNA from 1 species